rnacentral:rRNA from 1 species
GCUUAACGCGAAGAACCUUACCAGGUCUUGACAUCCUCUGACAACUCUAGAGAUAGAGCGUUCCCCUUCGGGGGACAGAGUGACAGGUGGUGCAUGGUUGUCGUCAGCUCGUGUCGUGAGAUGUUGGGUUAAGUCCCGCAACGAGCGCAACCCUUGAUCUUAGUUGCCAGCAUUCAGUUGGGCACUCUAAGGUGACUGCCGGUGACAAACCGGAGGAAGGUGGGGAUGACGUCAAAUCAUCAUGCCCCUUAUGACCUGGGCUACACACGUGCUACAAUGGAUGGUACAAAGGGCUGCAAGACCGCGAGGUCGAGCCAAUCCCAUAAAACCAUUCUCAGUUCGGAUUGUAGGCUGCAACUCGCCUACAUGAAGCUGGAAUCGCUAGUAAUCGCGGAUCAGCAUGCCGCGGUGAAUACGUUCCCGGGUCUUGUACACACCG